CAAAGAGUAGUUUAAGUAAAAUGCUGGCUUUGGGGGCUAGAGAUGGAAAGUACUCUCUUUGA
rnacentral:tRNA from 1 species